rnacentral:piRNA from 1 species
UUACGUUACAAAAACCUACAUACCUGU